rnacentral:rRNA from 1 species
AUGACAUCGCUGAGUACUCUAGUCAUGAGAAACUCCAGAAUAUCUGACAACCUUUCUUCAGUGGACUUCUCAAAAUUUGUUAACCUCACUUAUCUGGACUUAAGUUUUAACAGCGUCACAGGCAAAGUUUCUCCAACCCUUCUGAACCUGAAUUCUCUCAUUUUCCUGUUUCUUGGGAGCAAUAACCUCUCUGGGAGCUUACCAGACAUCAUUAGCACUUCACUUACUACUAUUGACUUGUCAUACAAUAUACUCUCAGGAAGAUACCCUUCUUGGGUUAACAUGAAUAAUUUACAAGUGAAUUUGGUGUGGAACAACUUUGUGAUAGAUAACUCGAACAACAGUAUUUUGCCUUCAGGACUUAAUUGUCUUCAGCGAGAUACUCCUUGUUUUAUUGGUUCUCCACCUCAUUCCUCCUUUGCGAUAGACUAUGGUGGUUCGAGACCCAUCAGAGCCUCAGACAACUCCAUUUACGAACCUGAUGAUGCCAGUCUUCCAGUUGCAUCAUACUACGUUACGAACUCAACGAGAUGGGGUGUUAGCAACACCGGGACAUUCAUGGACUCAUCUAAUGGGAGUUAUAUGAUAUACACUUCUCGCCGCUUUACCAACACACUUGAUUCUGAACUAUUUCCGACAGCCAGAAUGUCACCCUCUUCAUUGAGAUACUACGGCAUUGGGCUCAAGAAUGGCAUGUACAACGUUGUACUUCAAUUCGCAGAGAUCUUUUCCCAGAUGACCAGACAUGGAAAAGCGUGGGCAAGAGGGUUUUCAAUAUAUAUAUCCAGGGAGAUCUUAAAGAAACAGAUUUCGAUAUAA